rnacentral:lncRNA from 1 species
CAGGACCUACCCUGGCUGCAUGAACUAGAGUAUUAGAUGUCGAACUCUUAUGAAAGCUAUGCAGAUCUAGCUACAACCUCAAGAAAGCUAGAUAAUGCCCUUUUUAGCUUUAAUGCACCCCAAAAUAGCUCCUAGUUUCACAAGUUCAAUUCUUGUGCAUCAAAUGUUUUCCCCCUACCGCUGAAAAAAUGACUUGUAAAGCUUAGCAAAAUGACAGAAUUGAUGAAGCUUGCACAACCUUAAAAGUACUGAUAUCACAAUAAAUAUAGACCACAGUGUCACAAAGCAAACCAAGUCAUGUCUGGCCAUAUAUGAUAAGUUACAAUGCAAACUAUCAAGAGGAUCUGGACCAUUUCAUGGCAUUUUCAUCGAGAAUAUUUUCCCUAAAAAUAAUAAUUUGCAAAAUUUUAAAUUAGCAAUACUCAAAUUUGCAUAAGGUUGCUCUAUAUGCAUAUUCUUAAAUUUGGCACAGACCUAACUCACCCCAAAAACUAGCUCAAGGGGAGGAUUGCCUAUGACCCAUAUAAGGGGCACAUUACCCCCUUUCCACAACUGAUGUGGGAUUCAACACACCCCCUCACGCCCAUUACUGGUGCGUGACAUAUUCAUGGGAGGCCCAACAUCGGAUGGGGAGGCUCUGAUACCAUG